rnacentral:rRNA from 1 species
GAUGAACGCUGGCGGCGUGCCUAAUACAUGCAAGUCGAGCGAACGGACGAGAAGCUUGCUUUUCUGAUGUUAGCGGCGGACGGGUGAGUAACACGUGGAUAACCUACCUAUAAGACUGGGAUAACUUCGGGAAACCGGAGCUAAUACCGGAUAAUAUUUUGAACCGCAUGGUUCAAAAGUGAAAGACGGUCUUGCUGUCACUUAUAGAUGGAUCCGCGCUGCAUUAGCUAGUUGGUAAGGUAACGGCUUACCAAGGCAACGAUGCAUAGCCGACCUGAGAGGGUGAUCGGCCACACUGGAACUGAGACACGGUCCAGACCCCUACGGGAGGCAGCAGUAGGGAAUCUUCCGCAAUGGGCGAAAGCCUGACGGAGCAACGCCGCGUGAGUGAUGAAGGUCUUCGGAUCGUAAAACUCUGUUAUUAGGGAAGAACAUAUGUGUAAGUAACUGUGCACAUCUUGGCGGUACCUAAUCAGAAAGCCACGGCUAGCUACGUG